rnacentral:rRNA from 1 species
CCUACGGGGGGCAGCAGUGGGGAAUCUUGCGCAAUGGGCGAAAGCCUGACGCAGCCAUGCCGCGUGUAUGAUGAAGGUCUUAGGAUUGUAAAAUACUUUCACCGGUGAAGAUAAUGACUGUAGCCGGAGAAGAAGCCCCGGCUAACUUCGUGCCAGCAGCCGCGGUAAUACGAAGGGGGCUAGCGUUGCUCGGAAUUACUGGGCGUAAAGGGAGCGUAGGCGGACAUUUAAGUCAGAGGUGAAAUCCCGGAGCUUAACUUCGGAACUGCCUUUGAUACUGGGUGUCUUGAGUGUGAGAGAGGUAUGUGGAACUCCGAGUGUAGAGGUGAAAUUCGUAGAUAUUCGGAAGAACACCAGUGGCGAAGGCGACAUACUGGCUCAUUACUGACGCUGAGGCUCGAAAGCGUGGGGAGCAAACAGGAUUAGAUACCCCAGUAGUC